AGCCUACAAAACAACAUCAUCUAAAGGAGUAAGCAUGAAAAACUGUGUAUCCCAACCUACAGCACAAGAACUAGCAAUAAUAGUAGUAUAAGCAAAGUAAAAUGUGCAGACAACAGCUGGCCUCACUCACCUUGUUGGUAUAAAGACUCCAGUUAGUAAGUAGUUCUGAAAGCAUUGCUCCCAGAAGCCCAAAAAGUGCACCGGAGGCACCAACAGAGAUGCUGUUUCGAAUAAAUAGGCAGGAAAGAACACUCCCACCGAAUCCAGAUAACAGGUAAAUAACUCCAAUCCGCACUGUCCCAUCGUAACAAGAGACGUCAAAUAGACUAAAUUAAGCUCAAAAAUUAAAAACUGCUGUACCGUACAUCCGCCUUGGCCGUACAGCAGCUAAAUUACUCGACUUAAUAAAUUAAAUAAUUAAAAUUUAUUCAUCCUUUCAAAUUGUAAAAGUAUUUUUAGUCAAAAGUUUCAAUAAAUAAACUAAACUCAAUUCAGCAAAAAGAUAUUUGGGUACAGUUGUUUCUUUGUCAGAUACUCUAUCUUUCUUUAAAGAACUAGAAGUUGGUGAUUCUUCUAUUAAAAGCUCUUAAAAUAUCCAAAUUUUAUUUUCUAACUUGUUCUCUUAGUUAAUAUAACUAAUAAAUAAAAUCUGAAAAUUCACAUUAAAAUUUUAUGAAAAUAUUGAUAAUUGCUAAUAUAUCUUAUUUAUGUAAGUAUUUUUAAGUCUAGUGAUGAUGUUAUAUUAUAUUGACAUAUAUAUUUUUUAAUUAGAAGCUUUUUAAAAUAAAUUAAGGCAGCAAUAAAAUUUUAACACCCUAAUGUUUUCAAUCUAUUCAAUAAAUAUAUAAGUUAAUCAUUUUAUAAAAUAAGUCACUAAUUUCAAUUGAAAAUAAUAUAAUUGACUUAGGGACAUAUUUAUAAAUAAAAUAAAAACUUUAUUAUUAUAUAAAAUUAAUGAAAAUAUAUGGGUAAUUGAGUUAGGGACAUAUUUAAAUAUAAAAUGAAAAUUCUAUUGUUAUACUAAAUUGAUGAAAAUAUAAACAUAUAUAUUUUUUAAUUAGAAGCUUUUUAAAAUAAAUUAAGGCAGCAAUAAAAUUUUAACACCCUAAUGUUUUCAAUCUAUUCAAUAAAUAUAUAAGUUAAUCAUUUUAUAAAAUAAGUCACUAAUUUCAAUUGAAAAUAAUAUAAUUGACUUAGGGACAUAUUUAUAAAUAAAAUAAAAACUUUAUUAUUAUAUAAAAUUAAUGAAAAUAUAUGGGUAAUUGAGUUAGGGACAUAUUUAAAUAUAAAAUGAAAAUUCUAUUGUUAUACUAAAUUGAUGAAAAUAUAAGGUAGUUGAGUUAGGGACAUAUAUGAAAAUAAAAUGAAAACUCUAUUAUUUUACUAAAUUAUUAAAAAAGUAAGGGGUGUAAAUCAUUUUUUCUAAACUAGACCGGGCUACGGCCCGGUCUAGCCCACGUGCAGGUCCGCCACUGGCUGUUGUUUACUUGUCGUACUCAAAUGCGUUAAGAGAAAGAAAGCUAAAGUAUACACGCAAUAAUUCUAUUACGAUGGCAAAACGCCGAAAGUAAAAGCAACUACAAAGGUGGUCUCCCGAGUUUAAAAUCAUGAUAAAGAAUCAAGCAUGAAGAAAUCCAGCUUCUAAGCUAUAACUAUGCAUGCAUUUACAUGUGAACGUAGAGCUAGCAAUUGCAAUCUACACAUUUCCUUCGCAAUUCCAACUGGAGGUGGGAACGCAGCUCAUGUAGUGACACCAUCUGCAACGAUCAUUACCAUUCUCUCCCCGGAAGAGCAUCACCAGUGCAACUGUUAAUCUGCAAUUAAGCCAGAAUAAUAAUUAAACCACUCAGUAGUCAGUACCCGGAACUUUAAAAUGGCUUCGUUCGCAACCUUUCUCUUGCAGAUAUCAUCUUCCAAUACCAAAUGAUUAAAAAUAAUUUUACACGGGGUCUCUACAUUCUGAUUGCCAAGAACUGGGAGUCGGGACAAUGAAUUCAUGGCCCACAACUUCUAUAACGAGGCAUUAUGAGAUACAAUUAUGUUCCCCUUUUCCUCAGCAAUCAUAAUCUGCCUAGGACCCCGGCAAACCACUUCAGAAUUUCAUAAAAUCAUUACUUAUAUAUAAUUUGUAUUGUGCUGUUGGUAUUCAGAUGAUGCUUUCUCCUAUGAAAAUGCAAUUAUUAGGAGUCACUCACCCUGCAAUUAGUAGAACCAGAGAGACCAGCCAUAACACGUAUUGAUGUGUCUUAUACUUGGAUUUUAUGGCGGCACUUCCAGGAAGGUUCCUGCCAUCAAGCCAUCCGUACCGAGGACGGGGCAACAAGACAAAACCAAGGAAGAACCCAGUGAGAAAUCCACCAAUGUGAGCGAAAUUAUCAACAUGCGGCAGAAUUCCUAUAGCGAGAUUAAUUGCAAUGAUGACCAAAAGAGUAAUCAAGGCUGCAGCCUACAAAACAACAUCAUCUAAAGGAGUAAGCAUGAAAAACUGUGUAUCCCAACCUACAGCACAAGAACUAGCAAUAAUAGUAGUAUAAGCAAAGUAAAAUGUGCAGACAACAGCUGGCCUCACUCACCUUGUUGGUAUAAAGACUCCAGUUAGUAAGUAGUUCUGAAAGCAUUGCUCCCAGAAGCCCAAAAAGUGCACCGGAGGCACCAACAGAGAUGCUGUUUCGAAUAAAUAGGCAGGAAAGAACACUCCCACCGAAUCCAGAUAACAGGUAAAUAACUCCAAUCCGCACUGUCCCAUCGUAACAAGAGACGUCAAAUAGACUAAAUUAAGCUCAAAAAUUAAAAAAAAAAAAUUAAUCAUUUGCAUUUUAAAUAGCAUGAAAGAGCAACAUACCGAACCCAAAUUGCUGUUCAAGGCGA
rnacentral:lncRNA from 1 species